ACAACCCCAGCUCUCUCAGCCUGUCCUCAUAGGAGAGGUGAAAAUUCUAGAAUUCAGUUUAGUCUGGUGCACUUUAAAGAAUUACUAGCUGUCCGGUGUGCCAUGGGCACCUUCCAAAGCUGCGCUGAGAUGUAACAGUGAAAUCUUUUCCAUCAAAUUUUAUAUAAAUGCUACACUAUCUAAUUAAUGCUAGCAAACUAAUUUUGGAGGGCGUGAUUUCCAACAGAGCUGUGUGGGAGCCUGUGUGCAGAACUCCUCCUUUCAAACAAAUAUUUGUUGUACUGCAUUGUUGUCCCUCUGCAGUUGACCACGAGGCUGUUUAGUUCUUCAUAUCCUGUUGUGACUCCGAAUGCUGCUUGCAGAAUAGCAACCACUAAUGGCGACCCAUGAAAUCCUAGUAGUAAUUUCCUACACCCCAGGAAGUUGCUUUAAAACAUAUGAAGGAAGCCCCUUGUAGGCAGUGCAGAGAGAAAGCACGGGUAUACAGGAAUCAACCAAACUGCAGUAUAAAUUAUAGACUUGCGCCGAGGAGUGGGUAAUGAAAAUUAUCUCAUCUGAUCCUGGGUAAUAAUCUGCCGCCUUUGCUCAUCAGUUAUCCACGGAAGAUGUUUCACAUAUAGCGGCUUAGACGUGGGAUAUAAUCCCUAUUAUGUGCAACAUCAGGAAAUGUAGAGCACUAAAAAUAAAGUAUGUUUGUCUCCAUAGCACAGUGGAAUGAAAACAGAUGGUGGGCAGCACAUAUGGCUGCCAGAAGCUGGGAACACCCAUUUGCAGAGUUCUUGCAGCUCAAAACAAAACAAGCCAAAACAAAGGAACUCCAAGGGGGGCAGAGAUUGUUCCAGGCAGAUAUCAGGAUAUCUCUUCUUUUCUCCACGCCCACACUCCCUAUCUUUUUCCUUUUUAUUGCUUAAGCUAGAAAUGGCAGCAUACUACCAGUUAAGAAUUUGAUGUGUAACUUCUUAGUAUUUGUCAAAACUUAGCAUUUGUUGAGUACAGAGAUUAUUUGAAAUAAAUUUCUAAUUUCCACUGUAGGUUCAAACCUCUGCUUUUGGAGAAAAUUUAAGAUUUUGCCAAUGUUGUGUAAGCAGCUCAAGAACUUAAAAAAAGGGUCAAUGUUGAAAGAAUUUCUGCAUCAUUGCUUCAUAUCAUAUGGAGGGUCGAGAAACAAAUUAGAGACAGAUGACUUCCUUAAACGUAGUUGGUGGAAUAGACCUAGGUCUUGUCUAUACUUUGAAUAUUUUUUAAAAGUUAUUCAACAUCAUUGGCUGUAGUUCAGCAUACUUUGUGCUAGAUUUUAAGGUUCUUUUAUGGGGUACUAUUGUUGCCAGCAGUGCUUUAUGCCCUGCAUCUUAUGGCCUCCCUAAACAAUUAUCAGUGAUAUUAUGUUUACUGAUUGUUGUUCACAUCAUGUUGUCAACGUGGGUAGAAUGAAAGACUAAUGACUCUAAUAUCUGGGAUAAGAUUAUGUGUGAUGUGUGCUGAUCUUGAAUAUUUAACCCAAGCAGAAGGACGGUAGAGUCCAAAAAAAAAAAAAAAAAAAAGUCUUCAGUAAUGGCGAAGUAACAAGCCAAGGUCUCAAGAAGCUGUAUGUCAGAUGUACAGAUAUUGUGAAAUGUUUAACGGUAUAAAUGUGACUGCCUGUCUGGAUAAGAAAACAAGUUGAUUUUUUUUCUUCUGUUUAGUUUUUAUGUUUAUUCUUGCACUUUUCUUUUUUAUGAUAAGCUUUGUAAUUAGGCUAUUAGUCUUCUUUAUGAUUAGCCUGCUUCAGUUUCCUCAGCUUUAUUUUUUUCUACACACGUCAAUCUAAUUUAAAAUACAUUUUUAUUUGCUUUUAAGUUAUAUAGAGGAUUGCAACCGUAUGGUAAAUAUACUAUGUCAAAAAUUAAGUUAGUUUCUUUACUUUCAUUUGGUAAGAGGAGACAAAAGGAAUAGAUUAAAAAUAUUCAAACUCAGCAAAAAAAAAAAAAGAAAUAGUAAUUAAAACUGAUGAUACCCAGAAACCAAAAAAAAAAAUAGCAGGACUUAAUAAAAAUUAAUGAGGAAAAAGAGAAUGUAAUGGACUACAUAAGCUAGUGCUGGUAAAAGUAACUUCCAUGAUUGACCCUGAUUUUGAGAUGUUUUUCUAUGUGCUCAUUUGUAUUUAGGUCACUGAAAAAUUUUAGUAGAAGAAAAGUGCUUAGAAUAGUGAACAGAUUUUUUGAAAAGCAGCCUAAGAUUUAAGGAAUAUCCGUUUUUAAAUGUCUUUUAUUUUUCCUAGUCUAAGCUAUAGAAAUAAUUUUAAAAUUAAGAGCAGGCUCCUAUUGCUUGACAGAUUCAUUCCUUUCUUUGUUCCGGUGAAUAAUCUGGGUCUUUGGUUUUGGAAAAAAAGUGUGUUUAGAGGCCAAGAGUUUUACGAGCACGAUACCUGUAAUGAUUGUGAGGUUUCAGUGUGGCAUUGGGCACCUACAGGCACUUGAAGGACUGAAUCUGAAGUACUGGCUUCUUGUAAGUGGGGGGAAAAAAUGAUUUCACUACGCAUUUUGAUUGUAAUGUUUCAGGGUAUGUUCUGUUAAUUUCAUCCUUUUAUUACAUAAUAGUAUGUGUUAUUUUAUACUGUUGGAACUCCAGGAAUAUAACGUACAUCUCCCCUAUCGGUGAAGUCCCCGUAGAAAAUCAUAAAUUAGCAGGAGCUUGCCUCUGUCACAAGCAGGAGGAAAUGCUUAUUUUAGAUAAGCACUUCGGAUAACGACACACAGGCUCUCUUGUGAAACAGUCGUAAGGAAACCAGCUGACGUAAGAAAAUGAAGAUGUCCAAGAGCAAUGUUUAAGCAAACUCUUAGUAAAGUAGGAGGAAGAGUUGCUCACAGCCUCUGAGAGCAGAUGGAAACAGCAGCAAAGUACAGGAUGGGAAGAGAGAGGCUCCCUUCUUCCCUCUGCGCUACCGUUGUGAUGAGAAGGAUAGAAGGUAAUUAAUACGUGUGUGUCUGUGCUUGUGUUAUAUCAAAAGUCAAAAUAACGUCGUUAAACUGCAGCAGUUGUUGCUCUUUGCUGUUAGCUUCCCAAAGCAUCAGGGAAAUAUACGGUAUAUUAAAAGCAAAGUUCACCACUGGCAAAAAGAUGUAAAACUUUAUUGGCCAAAAGGGAAGUGCCUGUUUGUGGAUUGCAUUAAGAAUUCUGGAGCUCUUCUGGUUUGGUUUAGUAAGAAGCAUGCCCCAAACUGGUUUUGAUUUGGGUGUUUUCUUUUGUUCAUUUGUCCGGGUAGGAGUUUCUGCCUGAGUAUACUUACUGAAUUUCAUGAUGUUAACAAUGAUGGUUUCAAAGAAAACAGGCAAAAAAACCAAAAACAAACACCAACCCAAAACAGAUUGAAAUUAAAAAAAAAACCCAAACCCUCCGCAGUGGAGGUGGCAGCACAAACAGGGAGUGUAAGAGGCUGCAGUUUAAUUUUAACACUCGAGGAUAGAAAAAAGUAAGGUCAGGUUAGUACUGAUAAAUGAAUGUCAAAAUUGCAUUGUUUAGGGGUUUACUUAGUAAGCUAAGCUAAUGGGUUUGGUUUUUUUUAUAAAUGAAAUAUUUUUUGAAAGAAAGUGUUUUCAUCAUGGAGCCUUACAAAGGCAAACAGCGCCUGAAGCAGGUUCUUGCCCAGGUCUCAGCUACGUAGGAACUGCCUUUGUAAGAAAGUCAUCUCAGCCCCUGAUACAUUGUUAGUGGUAUCAGUUAUUUCUCUACUUCAAAGUCAGUAUUUGAUAAUGAUUUUUAUAUAUAUAUAUAUAAAGCCAUUUGAUUUUUUUUUUUUACAAGGGUGAAAACCCAGGGUUCACAUCCAGUGCAACGGACAUCGCAAUUUUUCUUGACUGUGCACUGUGACUAGUUAUAUUCUGCAGCUUUUUUUUAUAAUUUUACUUUUUAAGGUUCACCAGUAAUUCAUAUUUUUACACUAGUUUAUUGCUGGAAAAGAAUUAAUGAAUGACAGAAAGAUGAAGAAAUGGGCGUUGAUCCAGUCCCAAUAUAUAAAUAACCUUCUGAAGAUACAGGAAGAUUUAAAUGCGUUUCUGGCCCACUGAAACAAAAUCCACGAUGGGAAACAGACGCUAAAGAGGAACGAGCACUUGCCAGAGUACAUUUACCUUUCUUAAACUUUUUAUUGCAUUUACUUCACAUACAGGACUGAUUACCAGUCACGUGUGGAAAUUCAGCCCUUUGCAAAUAUUCAGUGAAAAAUAGAAAGUCUGUCUCUGAACAGAGCGUGGAGGCAACGUGUGUGCUGGUGAAGGAGUGGCUGGAAGAUUGGGCGUGUGGAAAAAGAGAAAAGAAAAUAAUACAAUACAUUUUUAAAGAACAGGAGGCUUACUGGCACGUAAUAACUAAUUCAAUGGAAAUCAGCUAGAAUCUACUACACUGCAAUAAUUGAACGUUGAAUCAGUGACUGGGGAGUAUUUCAUUGAAAAAUACGUUGUAUGGAAGAGGCGCUCCAGUGACACAGCGUUAGCUCCUGAGUCACCACUAGCAGUGCUGGUGAGUGGAUUUUGUAUUUAAUACAUGCAAGAAUGAGAAAACCAGCACUGUAACAUAGGAUUAAUUAUAUUAGUAGUAAGAUGGGCACAUUCUACCGAGCAGCAUAAUCGGAUGCUUUGGCCAUCUUCAGGGAGAUCCCCUUGAUUAAUGUGUGAUACGAGUUACCUCCUGGAGUAACUCUCCCUGUUGUCUUCUCUGUUAAAAACCCUUACAAAUUUCCCUUCUUCUAAACUAGUGGUUUUCACCCUUUGAAGCAGUCUCUGCGGAGGAGAUCGGGGCAACUUUCAGUGGAGUCAGAGGUAAGCUCUGCAGGCUUCCACACCAUCCAUGGAGUCUUUUUCUCGCUUCCCCUGUGUAUCACAGGCUGAUGCCCCAACCCCGUACAGCCUCCGUGUGUUCCUGCUUUCUGUCACCCUCACAUCCAUGUGAUAUUCACAGGAAAACUGAAUCCUCAGCCUGUAUCAUUCCAGUAUCGUGUCCCUCAGUAAUCAGCCCUCACUGGUACCCUCCUAUGUUCCCAGCAUCCCUCCUGUUGCCAUCAGGUGUGCUGAUUAGUUGUUCUAAGGGAAGGAACUUAGGAUGGGCAUUAGAACCUAACGUUUUUGUAUGUUUAUGUGUAUAAUUAAAAAGGGCAAUGAGGCUCCUGACAAAAUUAAAUCAGCAGGUUUUACUUUUUGGGAAAAUUGUUCCGCUCACCUCAUAGAAACAUUACGGAAGAACAACUAAAAAAAUUGCACUGGAAAUUCAAAAGAACUGAAUGAAGGGUUGUGCAUUGUGUUUAUGUGCUGUGCUACAGGUAUCUCUUGUAAGGACGUGAAUGCUGUCAAACUUGCAAAUGAAUACUGACUGGAGAAGAAUAUUUGUGUUUCAUGUCUUUUUGAAGGAUUAAUGAUAGUUUUUUAUAACCUGCAAGAUGUGUAGGAGUAAAAGUGGGAGGCACAGCGUCCAGCCCAUUAACGUGCUAAUUCACUUACAGGGAAUAUAAAAAGUAGUUUCGCCUAUUACAAUAUUUGCAUCUUCAUGCAAAGUUCUGUUACAGAACCUGUUAAGCAAGCGGUGUCCCUGGCAUAGUUGAGAACCCUGGAGGCAGCUCCAGCUUUAUGGAUCAUGGGAUGUCCUGUUGUGAAUAGUAAGGGGGCAGAGCAGAUCCAGGGCGGGAUGGCAGGCGCCACAGUCCUCGUUCUGCUGGUGAGAUGUGGUAUUGGGUAACUGAUCUUAAAUAGCAGGGAAGACUGAAAUGUGAAACGGAAGCUGGGGAGAGGCUUGGCAACGGGAUGCUCUGUGUGUGCUCUGUUGGAAGGGGCGGCUGGGGAGCGCCGGGUGCUGCGCCGCGCUACGGAGCCACCCGGCUUUGUGGCUAAAAGCAGCCCUGCCGGUUUGUUUGGUGAAGCAACUUGGGAGCUGGAGCGUGUGCCUUGGGUUACGUUGGGGUGCUGUAGCUUGCUGUGCAUUCCCAUGGGCCGGUGGAUGUGGUGUCUGUACGGCCUGAAACUGCCUUCGGUCUUCAUGGGAAUCCCAGAGCUGGCCCGGUUCCUGCUCGGCUGUGCUUGGACAACAACUAUCAGAAAAGAAAGGAUUGCUCCUUGCUUUGAGUUCAGUUCCGCAAGCAACUACUCAAAGUUUAAUAGCUCUCGUUAUUUAGGAGAACAGAUGUUCUGAUUAGGAAAGGUGAGGAAAAUUUUAAGAUUUAUUUUGAGAAUUACAUGUUACAGCAGACAAUAUAUAUCUAAUUGAUCUCUUAAAAUUUAGCUUCAAGUAUUUUUAUUGUGUUUUCAGUCUUUACACUAGUGUGUUCUUUCAUCAUCAUUGCUCGUGUCCCAGAGAACUGAGUCCAGAAUGUUUUGAGAGAAAUUCUAGAAAAUGAUGAGCAACUGAAAAAAACCAGGUUCACAAACCUGAGGAAUUCACGUGCAUGACUCUGGAACUAAGAGGUGCCUUUUCAAUAAAUUUAGGCUAAGGUGUAAAUUAAAAAAGGAGAUUCCAUGCUUCCCUAUCACUAGUCACAAGAGAGAAAUGAACUUGGCAGAAAAAUAUAAUGUUCCAAUGAGUGUCUGAUAUGUCUCUCAAGGUGUGGAACAUAGGAAAACCUGUGAGAAUCUGUCUGUCUUUGGGUAACGAGUUAAUUUCACUUCUUUUUAGAACUUGCUACAAGAUAAAUAGGAUUCUGAUACUUAGUGUCAAGUAACGUUUCCCAAAAUACUGGGAAACAUAUUGAUACACAAAUUGCAUGUUCUAAGAGGAAGUAAAUGUUGACUGUGACAGAGACUGAUACUAUGUUGCAAAUUGUGGGAUAACGUGUAUUGCCUUUUAAUAAAAACAUGACAAAUUAAUAGCUCUUACUACCUGGAAAUGAAAGAAUGUGAGCAGCAGUAGCAGGCGAGGCAGAAGAAACCACGCUACUUCCAGACAAAUUUAAAGAGCUACUCCCACUCCUCGAAGGCUUUCUGGUAUAAAAGCUGCCAGCGGAAAAGUAUAUUUGGAAUAACAAAGCUCAGUAAAAAACAACUGACUGAAAAAAGAAGGUGACAGCCAGGAAUCCUAAAUCUAAGAAUGAAAUGCUGUGAUCAGGAUUCAGCCUUCUGAGGUGCUCAGAAAAGGAUACAUGCUCUUGGAAGCCGUGUUGGACUGAAGAUGACCUAGACUGAGAUUCCCAAAUUCUAAUACAUGUGUGCUGUAGCAAAGCGCUGCCUAAAUAAUCCCUGAAUAGCCAAACACAUUGUCCUGGCCAACACGGAAAGCUGUUGCUACUGCAGCUUCUGCUACCUCUACCCAGAGUGGCUACAGUCAUAGUCAGCAACGUGCAUAUAAGAGCCACUGACCUGGAUGGUUUUACUUCGACUAAAGACUGAGGUAAUGUGUUCUUACUUUUCUUUAAGAAAAACAAGAGAGUAUUAAGGAGCAUGAAGAAUCUACAAAAGUAAAUGGGAGCAAUAUAAAUUAGGUAGUGGAAAGAGAAGAUAAGAAUUGUUAUUUGGAUGAAAAUAAAACAGGAGACCAUAACCUAAACAUAAAAAACAA